AACGCACCUUGCGCCCUUUGGUAUUCCGAGGGGCAUGCCUGUUUGAGUGUCAUUAAAUUAUCAACCUUUACUGGCUUUUGCUUUGUAAAAGGAUUGGAAGUGGGGGUAUACAUUUUGUAGGUUUUUUGAAUAAAGAAAUCUGCUCCCCUCAAAUGCAUUAGCGGUUUCCUUGUGGACUCGUCUAUUAGUGUGAUAAGUAUAUCUACGCUGUUAGAUGUCUACUCUAAGGGUAUAUGCUGCUUCUAACCGUCCUUCAUUGGAUAACUAUUUUGACUCUUGACCUCAAAUCAGGUAGGACUACCCGCUGAACUUAA
rnacentral:misc_RNA from 1 species